GACAGAGGAUGCAAGCGUUUAUCCGGAAUGAUUGGGCGUAAAGCGUCUGUAGGUGGCUUUUUUUAAGUCCGCCGUCAAAUCCCAGGGCUCAACCCUGGACAGGCGGUGGAAACUACCAAGCUGGAGUACGGUAGGGGCAGAGGGAAUUUCCGGGUGGAGCGGUGAAAUGCGUAGAGAUCGGAAAGAACACCAACGCGAAAGCACUCUGCUGGGCCGACACUGACACUGAGAGACGAAAAGCUAGGGGGAGCGAAUGGG
rnacentral:rRNA from 1 species